AUUGAACGCUGGCGGCAUGCCUUACACAUGCAAGUCGAACGGCAGCACGGGUGCUUGCCCCUGGUGGCGAGUGGCGAACGGGUGAGUAAUACAUCGGAACAUGUCCUGUAGUGGGGGAUAGCCCGGCGAAAGCCGGAUUAAUACCGCAUACGAUCUACGGAUGAAAGCGGGGGACCUUCGGGCCUCGCGCUAUAGGGUUGGCCGAUGGCUGAUUAGCUAGUUGGUGGGGUAAAGGCCUACCAAGGCGACGAUCAGUAGCUGGUCUGAGAGGACGACCAGCCACACUGGGGCUGAGACACGGCCCAGAGUCCGACGGGAGGCAGCAGUGGGGAAUUUUGGACAAUGGGCGAAAGCCUGAUCCAGCAAUGCCGCGUGUGUGAAGAAGGCCUGCGUGUUGUAAAGCACUUUUGUCCGGAAAGAAAUCCUUGGCCCUAAUACGGUCGGGGGAUGACGGUACCGGAAGAAUAAGCACCGGCUAACUACGG
rnacentral:rRNA from 1 species